rnacentral:tRNA from 1 species
GGCCCCGUAGUUCAAUGGAUAGAACAAGCGUUUCCUAAACGCUAGAUCUAAGUUCGAUUCUUAGCGGGGCUACAA